UUAGAGUUUGAUCCUGGCUCAGGAUGAACGCCGGCGGUGUGCCUAAUACAUGCAAGUCGUACGCACUGGCCCAACUGAUUGAUGGUGCUUGCACCUGAUUGACGAUGGAUCACCAGUGAGUGGCGGACGGGUGAGUAACACGUAGGUAACCUGCCCCGGAGCGGGGGAUAACAUUUGGAAACAGAUGCUAAUACCGCAUAACAACAAAAGCCACAUGGCUUUUGUUUGAAAGAUGGCUUUGGCUAUCACUCUGGGAUGGACCUGCGGUGCAUUAGCUAGUUGGUAAGGUAACGGCUUACCAAGGCGAUGAUGCAUAGCCGAGUUGAGAGACUGAUCGGCCACAAUGGAACUGAGACACGGUCCAUACUCCUACGGGAGGCAGCAGUAGGGAAUCUUCCACAAUGGGCGCAAGCCUGAUGGAGCAACACCGCGUGAGUGAAGAAGGGUUUCGGCUCGUAAAGCUCUGUUGUUGGAGAAGAACGUGCGUGAGAGUAACUGUUCACGCAGUGACGGUAUCCAACCAGAAAGUCACGGCUAACUACGUGCCAGCAGCCGCGGUAAUACGUAGGUGGCAAGCGUUAUCCGGAUUUAUUGGGCGUAAAGCGAGCGCAGGCGGUUGUUUAGGUCUGAUGUGAAAGCCUUCGGCUUAACCGAAGAAGUGCAUCGGAAACCGGGCGACUUGAGUGCAGAAGAGGACAGUGGAACUCCAUGUGUAGCGGUGGAAUGCGUAGAUAUAUGGAAGAACACCAGUGGCGAAGGCGGCUGUCUGGUCUGCAACUGACGCUGAGGCUCGAAAGCAUGGGUAGCGAACAGGAUUAGAUACCCUGGUAGUCCAUGCCGUAAACGAUGAGUGCUAGGUGUUGGAGGGUCUCCGCCCUUCAGUGCCGGAGCUAACGCAUUAAGCACUCCGCCUGGGGAGUACGACCGCAAGGUUGAAACUCAAAGGAAUUGACGGGGGCCCGCACAAGCGGUGGAGCAUGUGGUUUAAUUCGAAGCUACGCGAAGAACCUUACCAGGUCUUGACAUCUUGCGCUAACCUUAGAGAUAAGGCGUUCCCUUCGGGGACGCAAUGACAGGUGGUGCAUGGUCGUCGUCAGCUCGUGUCGUGAGAUGUUGGGUUAAGUCCCGCAACGAGCGCAACCCUUGUUACUAGUUGCCAGCAUUAAGUUGGGCACUCUAGUGAGACUGCCGGUGACAAACCGGAGGAAGGUGGGGACGACGUCAGAUCAUCAUGCCCCUUAUGACCUGGGCUACACACGUGCUACAAUGGCGUAAACAAAGGGAAGCGAAGGAGUGAUCCGGAGCAAAUCUCAGAAAUAACGUCUCAGUUCGGAUUGUAGUCUGCAACUCGACUACAUGAAGCUGGAAUCGCUAGUAAUCGCGGAUCAGAAUGCCGCGGUGAAUACGUUCCCGGGUCUUGUACACACCGCCCGUCA
rnacentral:rRNA from 1 species